GAUCAGAGUGAGGCAGGCUAAAGAGAAGCAUUUGGGAAAGGGAGUUUCAGAGCCAAGCUCAUCUUACCCCACAGACAACCGGGGGUUCUUUCAGUGUCCCAGGAUGGCUGAGACUUGGAGCAUGGCGCUGAUCGCAAGGAAUGCUCAAAGUCUGCAGAGGAAUAGGAGGAUUGGCUCACGGUCACCAGGCCCAGUAGAUUCGUACCAUCUGCUGUAGUUUGGGACUGGAAUGUCCUCCAUAGGUCCAUGUGUUGAAGGCUCUGUCUCCAGUGUGGCACUGUUGGGAGGUGGUGGAAGCUUUAAGGGAUCAGCCCCAGAAGAUGGUCUUUAGGUCCCUGGAGGUGAGUUUUUCUUCUUUCUCUUUUUUGCUUCCUGGUCUUGAAGUAAACAGUUCUGUGUCACUUUACAGGCCCAAAGCAAUGGCCAGUUGGAUCAUGGGCUGAAAUCUCCAAAGCUGUGACAAUAAACCUUUUUUUCAAUAAGUUAAUUGUUUCAGAUAUUUGUUACAGUGGCAGAAAUCUGACUAAUACACCAUCCCUGUCCAUUUCUGUCCUCUCCUGCUGCCAUUCUUCUAGUUUAGGCCUCAUAUUCUCUAACUUGGGCUCUUGCAAGGUCCUAGCUGGCCUGCCUGACUCCUUUUUCUAAUCUACAUAGAGAGCAACUUGAGUUGUCUUUUCUAUUUUUCAUUACUUAUAUAAUUAGAAAAAGAGUUUAAAAAGUACAAAGUAUACAGAUACUAUAGCUAACUCACAUAUCAAUGAAAACUAACUUUCUACCAUAUUUUAUCCAUCAUUUAUCCUUUAUUGAAACAGAAUACAUAAGAAAAUGUAGCAUAAUUGUACUGGUGUUAAUUUUCUGAAAAUGGACAUAGCCACAUAACCAGCAUUACAAAACGAAACAGAACCAUCCCAGGCUCCUCUUCUACCCUCUUCUUGUAUCCUCCACACUGCCCCCAUCAAGGUAACCACUGUCCUCAAUCUAACAGUCUAGGUAGGUUUGCCUAUUUGUGAACGUCAUGUAAAUACAGUUGUUCAGUGUGUGCUCUUUCAGUGUGGUAUUUAUUUUGAACUUUCUUUUCUUUUCUUUUCUUUUUUUUUUGAGAAAGAUAUUUUAAAAGAUAAAGACUCCUGUGUUCUAAUUCUUUGAAUUCUUUUUCCUUUGACAAGCACAUCAUAAAUGUGAUAAUGUAUGCAGCCCAUGUCCUUACAGGCUUGCGUAUGUGGAUAGCUUUGUUUUGGAGGUGUUACUGUCUGUAUUUAAGCGAAGGGUUUUAUGAUAUAAGGAAGUUCUGUCACUUGCUUACUUCACACAAUGAGAUUUCUAAAUCACACAGGGUGAUGUGACUCACUUUCCUUUUUGAACACAUACCUCCCCUCUUUCUAAACUGUCCAUUCCUGGAAGAAAGAGUAAUGUUUUAUUGCUUCUUUGUAUCCUGUGAUGCUUUAUGAAGAUAUUUAGGGAAUGGAUGUGUCAACGAAACCAUGAGCAACUUGGUUGGUUCAUGGACAACCAUAUUCCGUAUUUCUUCCUCUGUUGGCCCCUUUUUGGAGAAUGACAUCUUCUUUUUCUUUUCCUUUCUUCUUUAUUUUUUGCUUCUUUAUGUAUGUCUAUUAGAAGCUCCAAAGACUUAAGUCCAUAGGCAAACCCAGCAUAGAAAUUUGACUUCAUAAAAUGUUCCUUCAGAAGAGAUAGGCAUUGCAGAGCUGGUGUGAUCUUUGCAGGUUGUGCCUCACCUGUUUUUCUGGAAUGGGGGACAAUGGUGUUCUAUCUAGGGUUUUUCUUACUAUAAACAGAAUUAUAGAAAUCUGAGGUGGUUACCACAUUUGAUUCACACCUUAACAUAAUUGGCAAAAUAUCACUCAUCUUCCAGGUUAGCCUUCCCUGGGGUUUCUGUUGAAUUCUCUUGGUUCUUCUAGGCUUCCUGGAUUUGAGACCACAACCAGAGGGAGAUGGGUCCCUGUUGACAUUCUGAGACACCAUCUCAAGACUGUGUCGGGUGAAGGAAAAUGGCCCUGUCAUGCCUCACUAUCGCUGAUGACACCAAGACCUGGAACUUCAUCCUUCCUUGGGACUUAGAUUCUAUGGUCCUACCUCUCACCAACACUCACCCAGAGUUGUCUUAGUACUCUAAUGCAGGGUAAUGGAAAAAUUUCCGUUUUAGUUUGUGAUGGGAACCUUGGUGUGUCUUCAUCUGGAUGACGUGGACGAGUCUGGGAGUGCUCUGAUCCCCAGCAUUCUUAACUGUGCUGUGGACAUAAUAUUACUUUUUCCAUGAAUUUUUUGGGAGAAUGAAACUGUGAGUUAUAAAGAUGUGAAAAUUGUACUCAAUCUAUUUUUCUACUGUGUACACAGGUAGACAAAAGGCUAGAAAGAAAUAGAUGUGUUAAAAUACAUAUACUCCCACUGAAUUUUUGAGUCUGGCUUUUGUUUAUUUAUAUUUUUAAUUUUUAUUUUUGUAGUGGGGAUUGAACCCAGGGGUGCUCUACCACUGAGCUAUGUAUCUUUUUUAUUUUUUAUUUUGAGUUACGGUUGCCUAGGUUGGCCUCAAACUUUGCAAUCCUCCUGCCUCAGCCUCCUGAGUCACUGGGCUUAUAGGUAUGCACCAUUGGCUUUCUUUCUAAAUAAUUUAUCAUGUGCAUUUCCCUAUCUCAUUAUGAAUACUCACUCUCCAUUGUUUUUUGAAGUUGCAUAAGAUUCUACCAUCUGGUUGCACCUAACUGCUUCCACAUUAUGAGCCCUUUAUUUAUUUUCAAUUUUUCACCAAGGAGAGUUCUGAGGUCAGCCAAGCCUAUUUUUUUUCCCUCUUUUUAACCUUUUGCUUUGCUUUGUUUUGCUUUCAGCCUGAGAUAUUUAUAAUUCAUUUUUGCCUUGCUGUCAAACAGUGGGUUUCUUUCUUUCUUUGUUUAACCAAUUAUGCCUGGUGUAUCAUAUACCAUUUUGUUUUAUGAUUUUAGGUUUUUUUUUUCUUUUUUCUAGAAUGUUCUAUUCUAGACUUGAUUGGUGUUUUAGUGUCGUUACAUUUUUGGAGACUUUUUAUGGGAUCACUAAGCUUUUUUCUUUUUACACAUUGGAUCAUUUUUCUCCAUCAUACAUACUAUCUGCUCAGUAUUUUCAACUCUAGAUUCUAAAAGAUACAUUUCAAAUUUAUUAUUUCUUGGAAACUAAGGUUUUUGCAGUAUAAAUUCUGCUCUUUAUGGCUUCCAAUGUAAACUGUAGUUCUUAAGAGUGCAUUUAUUGUUUGUCUGCCUCCUUUAGUUUUCAUCUAGACUUUUUCGCACUUUAGCCAGCGUUGUGCUUUAUGUCUUGUCUCAUUUUUUCGUCUCCUUCUCCCUCUCCGGAAGCCAUUGCUCUUACCAGGGGCACGUGGGACAGAUCAUUUUCCACCUGAGUUCUAGUAACUCAGUUCCACUUGGUAAGUUCUGUUCUUUACAGGCAUUAUACUUCAUCAAGUGCUUAGAAAAAUAAAACAAUAAAAACAAUGCUUACUUCAGAUGUCUUAAAAAAUGUUUCCUUGCCAUUUAUCGAUGUAUAUGCCAAACAUACAAUAUACUUACAUUCAUUUAUUAUUUAUAAACUUAGCAAAGGGGAUAUGUUCUGAGAAAUGCAUCAUUAGUGACUUCAUCAUUGUGCAAACAUCAUAGGAUGCAUUUCUACUAUGUGAUAAAUCUUAGGUACCAUCAUCAUGUAUGUGGCCUGUCAUUGACUGGAGCAUCAGUAUAAAGUGCAUGACAAUGUAUGCACACACAUGACACUUUCUUAAAAUUCAAAGGCAUGCUUUCUUUGUAUCUUUAGGCAAACUACAGUCCAUGGAUCAAAUCUGGGCUGUUCACUCAUUUUUUUAUAAAUAAAGUUUUAUUGGAACAGGGAUGCCCUCAUUCACAUACAUAUUGUCUGUGAUUCCUUGC
rnacentral:lncRNA from 1 species